AAAUAGUGUAUCUUGUGCCUUUAAUAUUGAGGUUGAGGUGCAGGCAAAAGGUGUCCAGAAAUUGUGAGACGUGACUGCAUGGACAUCCUCGGUCUAAAACGCCUGGCACCAUGUGGGAGCCUGGCUCCGCUGCCUCUCAACGCACUGGCUUGCUUUUUGCUUUUGAGUAGCUUGAAUAUCAAACCAAGCACAAAGGGAAUCAUACCCAGGAGUUGCUGGAAAAAGCUCAUUUCAUCCACCUCAUUCCCCCAUUCUCUCUGGCAGA
rnacentral:lncRNA from 1 species